rnacentral:lncRNA from 1 species
UUCCAUGGCUAAAAACUUUAACCACAAUUUUUUCCCCGUAGCAUUCGUAGUAAGAAGCGGCGUAACUAAAUGUUAGCUACAAACUUUACAUGGUAUGUGACUAAAGAAAAAUACUUAUAGCUAUAAAAAAUAUUGUGUUGUAGCUGUAAUGGUAAAAAAACUUUGCUACAAAAUAUGUACUUAUAGCAAAUAAUUUUAUUCUUUUGCCACGAGAAAU